rnacentral:lncRNA from 1 species
AAGUCGCCAAGCUAGGAGAUUUGCCGAAAGAGGUAACAGACAAGGUAAGCAAUCAGACUUCCAAGCAAGCAACCUAAAUCGAAGGUUUGACUUCGACUUCCGGUUGAUUGUUUUCCUUCUCCUUGUGUCGUAAACAGCAACAAGGAUAAGGAGAAGCAAAUAGAGAAGAGGUGAUAUGAGAUACUUUUUCUUUUGAAGAAGUAACUUUCCACAAGCUUAUUCUUGAACUGGGCUGGAGGGUUUUCUGGUUUCCUCCAGAGUAGAAGGCCGACUCAAGAAUUUGAGGGUCAAAACAAGUCCAUCAAAUCAAUAGUGCGUUCGACCUUGAUGAUAUAAGAUAUUUUUUCUGUUGACAAAGUAAUAGAUGAAUAGGCACGUGUUCUGUUGCGCUUGUCUUUUGAAGCUAGAGCUUUUGUAAAUGAAGCUUUUGAAGAUAGAGCUCUGUAAAUGAAGCUUUUGAAGCUAGAGCUCUGUAAAUGACGCUUUCGAAGCUAAUUGACAUGAGUGAUGCUCAUGAAUGUUUAUGUUGAUUGACAUGAGUCUUAACCUCUAUCCUCCACAGCCAGGCAGACCUGCAAAUAAAAAAAAAUUCUCAACUUUUCUUCACAUCCGAGAGGGCACUCUCAACAGAGUCUCUUGAAAUACUCAGUUUCUUUUCCUCCCGAUAAUACCUCUACAAACAAGCCACACCAGAGCAAGAGUAUUUCAUAUCAUCAGGGUCAAAAGCAAGAGUAUCACAUAUCAUGCUUUUUCCCUGUCUUUUCCUUUGCCCUUGUUCUUACCUGUAAGACAAUGAGAAAGAAAGCAAUCAGUCAGCACUUGGAAUCAAGCUUCCAGUCAGGAGCUGACUGCCUGGAAUCCCUUGCCUGAUUACUUACCUGGCAUUGCUCUCGAGUACUCAUCUUCAACAUCUUAUGCUUCCA